AAUUAUUUAACGAUUAUGCAAUUAGUUUGAUAUAGGAAUUUGACCCGAUUUUAUAAUAUUUCUUGAUGUAUUCGGUAGACUAAGCGACUUUAAUGUUAUUCGUCAGAACCUCUCGAUACAUAACGUUUGAAUUCUCAAGUGGUACUGAUUGCCCUUCGAUCUUUUGUUUUGUCUUCUCUCGGAGACAGCCCCCACUACGCUCGGAUCACGCCACCGUUCACGCCUAUGAUCACAUAUGUCACCUUCUUUGUGUAUAUGAAAUAACGGACCGAAAGCGAAUCGACGUUUCUAGAACUAUGCGCUUGUCGCUACAUUGUAUAUAUUUCGCCAGUCCUGUAAGACGAUCUGUUUGCGACACUGUAGUGCCAUGAGCGACGGUUAGGAAUACGGCCUAUGUGUUCUUUACGUCAAAGCGAGCAGUUGGGACAACGUUAUUAGAAGAAUACAAGAGGCGGGUGGUAAAAUGUCGUUUGAGGACGUCGACGAGGAUGUGUCGUCGCCGUUGAAGAAUGGUUCCAAGGUUGAACCCGUUUCCCGUAAAGAGCCUUGAUACACGUUAGUCAGUCUGUGAUCUCGAUCGUUGAUCGCUUCGUUCGUGUCACUGUCCAGUCUUCGGUCUCCCAGUUUCUUCGAGUGUUUCGGUAGAUCCAUAUCUGAAAUAAACGAAAUCAUUUUAAGUUGAA